GAUAGAGUGACUCGGCGGGGAAUUGAUGAAAAGGCAUUGUCAAGGCCCUACUCUGGGCUUACAAUGCUCGCAACUCGAAGAAAUCGAGUAUCCCGAGCUGUUAUUCCAUAGAUGUGUGUGCAUAUGCACAGAGGCUUUGAUCUAUCUCUGGCACGGCCUCAACAUGAAUGGGGCCAGGAACUUGUCUAACAAUUUGACGCUUUAAUCCGUCCCUCAAUGACGACAGACAGACAGUCGGAAAGGAGGAGAAUGAUGGGAUGGCAAAACUGAAAAAAAACUCAAACAGCUCCAGUCUGUCUUCGCUUCAGUUCGCUCAGCCAAAAGCAAGCUGAGAUUCAUUCAAACUGCCAUGGCUAUCCACGUCUCAUUCCUUCUCUAUGUGUGGAGCUCUCAGCUGUGUGCUGGCUGUCUUUUAUGUCUUUCAUUUCUUUCUGGUGUCGUAUUAUGGUAAUUCGCAACGAGUCCGAUUAGAGGAUCCACGAACAUGUGGAAGAACGAGUUUCCCUUGCUACAGCUGAGCCUGCUCCCAUUCUGUUUGUAACUGAAUAAAAAAAUCUAUUAUAUACUUAUUAUUAAACUAAUCAGCAUGCAAAGGCAAAGGAUUAAAUUAAAUCAUUUAAAACUGAUUGUUGUCUGAAAAGAGCUCAGAGUCGGGCCAGAAAAGACUUCACAUUCUGGUUUGUUUAAGGUGCAAUUGCUUUUGCUUCUCGCUGUUGGUCCUGGCAAAUGAGCUGGCCAAUGAGUGCCAGUGGGACGCUGGGACCAACUGGAAUGAUGCGCUCUGUGUCGCAUCUGCCACAAGCUGACACUGAACUGGCAGCUGCUCUUGACCAGAGCAAGCCAGAUGGGGUGGAAGCAGAUUGCUUCAGGAUUGCAGUCCACAGUCUCUUUGCCUUAGUUGUCUGUGUGCUGAUUUGCCACUUGAGACCUGUGUGCCCGGCCAUAAUUUAAUAUCAUGCGAAAUGAGUUUAUGGCAAUUGCAAUUUUAUUUGCAUGGCCAGCACUCAAACCUCAAUGAACACCGACUUACAUACACAGGGACAUGUGCAUGGCCAGAGCUGGGAGUUUGUCGCUGAUUCGAUUUGAGUUUCUCAGUUAAUCAAUUGAUUUUUCCUUCUGCAUUUGCAUUUGUGUGUUACCUGUGGAGCUGUGACCAACAGCUUCCAUUCCACUUGCAUUUCUUUCUAUCAUAAAUUGCACAUUGAUUUCUAUUGGCAUUUUCUCGACUUGUAUUGCAUUGAGUGCCUCGAAUGUAAUGUUGCUGUGGCAACUGAAUUCAAGUUUCCCACUUCUCCCCCAUUGUCUCGCCUUGAGCGUUUCCUUCCUUUAUG
rnacentral:lncRNA from 1 species